AAAGCCACCUUGCGCUGCACUAAGUAAUCAUAUGAUGAGAUAGCUACAAGAAGAUGCUCCUAAAUCAUAGAAAUUUAAGUUGUUGAUCGAAGAAAAUAAUAUAUUGGUGGCAUGUACCAGCAACAGACCAGCGAGGAUGAGAAAUGGUGCGUGGCAGUGGUGAGUGGUGACCCUGGCCAGUCUUUGCUGGGGUGGUGCGUGAGGCGGAGUGAUGCAGGGCGCGCUGGUGCCUGUGAAGGACUUUUGGCACAGAAAUUUCGUAUCGUCAGCAUUGAGAGUUCGAAAGCAGCUGCUGGACAUGACGGAGCAGAAAUCCCACGUGUACCUCGGUGGGAUCCAGACCAUGCACUACAAAACAUUCCAAGACAAGAUAGGACUUCUAGGAAUGCUGGAAACUGUAGUAGGGGAUGUGGAACCCUUCUGUGGGAGGAAAGCCUUCAGGUUGUUGAGAAAUGAGCCAAGAAUCUUCAGGGAGACCGCAUCAAACAGUAUGCUCAACGCUAACACCUAUAGAUAUGUGAGUAGUAGUAGUAGUAGUAAUAGUAGUAGUAGUAGUAGUAGUAG